rnacentral:rRNA from 1 species
CCUACGGGAGGCAGCAGUGGGGAAUAUUGGACAAUGGGGGAAACCCUGACGCAGCGACGCCGCGUGAGGGAAGAAGUAUUUCGGUAUGUAAAGCUCUAUCAGCAGGGAAGAAAGAAAUGACGGUACCUGACUAAGAAGCCCCGGCUAACUACGGGCCAGCAGCCGCGGUAAUACGUAGGGGGCAAGCGUUAUCCGGAAUUACUGGGAGUAAAGGGCGCGUAGACGGCGCUGCAAGUCAGAAGUGAAAGGCGCGGGCUCAACGGCCGGACUGCUUUGGAAACUGUAUGGCUGGAGUGUGUGAGAGGAUAGUGGAAUUCCAGGUGUAGGGGUGAAAUGCGUAGAUAUUAGGAGGAACACCAGUGGCGAAGGCGACUAACUGGAAUGUAACUGACGUUGAGGAGCGAAAGCGUGGGGAGCAAACAGGAUUAGAUACCCUUGUAGUC